rnacentral:rRNA from 1 species
GUGUCAGCAGCCGCGGUAAAACGUAGGUGGCAAGCGUUAUCCGGAUUUACUGGGCGUAAAGCGUGUGCAGACGGGUCGUCAAGUGGUGUAUGAAAUCGCUCGGCUCAACCGGGCGCGGGUAUGCCAGACUGGCGGUCUAGAGGGUGCGAGAGGGACGUGGAAUUCCGGGUGUAGUGGUGAAAUGCGUAGAGAUCCGGAGGAACCCCUGAGGCGAAGGCGGCGUCCUGGCGCACACCUGACGUUCAGACACGACAGCAUGGGGAGCGAACGGGAUUAGAAACCCCCGUAGUCC